GAUUUCCUGGGGUGUUCGAUAGCCCUGUUAUUUUGAACCUACAUUUACGUUUAUGGGAUUCCAAUAUCGCAGGCUGGAUGUCACGCCUCCGUCCUUACUGGACGCCAGUGGAAGGCUGAAUGCUCUGUUGAGGUUACCCACCUAGCUUUGGCUAGGCGUCAAAAUACAGGGAACGGCACUUUGGGAAACGG
rnacentral:other from 3 species